AUAACAAAACGACCCUUAUUUAUUGUUACCCUGGCAACCCGCCGUGUUUGAUUGACGUUUGAUUUAAUAAUUUUGAUACAACUCAUAAUUCUAAUGUAAGUUGUAUUUAUUUUAUCAACCAAAGCAAUUAUAUACACAUUUACUCAAUAUACUAAUAACAUUUUAUUAUUUGCAGCUAAUAGAAACUCCAAAACCUCAGACAAAGAGGACUAGAAUUUUACAUGCGCGUUCUGCAGUACAAAAGUUAGAAGAGCAUCUCAAAUAGUGGAAAGUGCCAAACUCCGCAACACGGUAGUGUUCCAGUGUUUCCAGGAAGAGCACGAAACAAAACAAAGGCAGAUGGCUGAAACACAUGAGCUCAAACAGAAGCGACUCGCCGAAGCUCACGAAAGGGCUAGACAGAAGCAUCUUCUAAGGCUCAAAUUGUUACAGCAGCAAUUAAAUAAAUAAUUAUAUACUUAUAAAAAAAAUAAAACCCCCGUUUUAAAUGAAA